GGCCGAGUGGCGCAAUGGUAGCGCGUCGGUUUUCGGUACCGAAGGUCUUUGCGAGUUCGAGUCUCGUCUCGGUCG
rnacentral:tRNA from 1 species